UACGAAGGGGGCUAGCGUUGCUCGGAAUCACUGGGCGUAAAGGGUGCGUAGGCGGGUCUUUAAGUCAGGGGUGAAAUCCUGGAGCUCAACUCCAGAACUGCCUUUUGAUACUGAAAGAUCUUUGAGUUUCGGGGAGAGGGUGAGUGGAACUGCGAGUGUAGAGGUGAAAAUGCGUAGAUAUUUGGGGAGGAACACCAGUGG
rnacentral:rRNA from 1 species